AGCUAGACAGAAAAGUUCUCCAAGACCCCACCUGACCCAGAAGCCUAGCUGGCUUCAUCUCUCAAAAUGUGACUAUAAAGAAAAAUUUAGCAGAAUGGACAGCAGAACAAGCAUACAUUGGAAGACUUUCUAAGACCUUUUGCUCAAGGGCAAACCUUAUUCUCAGAUUGGAUCAAGUUGAGAAGCCCAUGAAGUAUUGUCACCAAGCAUACAGGAGGAAAAAACAGGUCUAAUUUUAUGCAUGUGGUAUUCUAUUUAAUUACAAGAAUUACAUUAAGAACAACUGCUAAUCAUCUGCUUCAGCUAAUUUCAAAGAAAAAAUGUCUAAUAGUACUUUUACAUUUUCUAAUUAGACCCAGAAUCCGUAGCCAGCAUGAUGAGUUCAGAGACCUGGCCCCUACCCUGGGAGUAGCACAUUCAGUCAGAGAGGUUUAGGUGGAUUCAUCCAAAUACUUUAAUCCCAGAGCUCUGUCCUACAAAAACCAACAGGCUUGCUCAACUGUAGCAGUCAACAAGAAUUCAUGGUGCUUGGUUGGACUGCAUACAUAUUAUCUUUUUCCUUUAGAAAGCUGUGAAUUCCUUGGCUGUUUUAUUUUUGAAAUAAAUGUGUCAAUUCCA
rnacentral:lncRNA from 1 species